rnacentral:rRNA from 1 species
AGUGAACGCUGGCGGUAGGCCUAACACAUGCAAGUCGAACGGCAGCACAGUAAGAGCUUGCUCUUACGGGUGGCGAGUGGCGGACGGGUGAGGAAUACAUCGGAAUCUACUUUUUCGUGGGGGAUAACGUAGGGAAACUUACGCUAAUACCGCAUACGACCUACGGGUGAAAGCAGGGGAUCUUCGGACCUUGCGCGAUUGAAUGAGCCGAUGUCGGAUUAGCUAGUUGGCGGGGUAAAGGCCCACCAAGGCGACGAUCCGUAGCUGGUCUGAGAGGAUGAUCAGCCACACUGGAACUGAGACACGGUCCAGACUCCUACGGGAGGCAGCAGUGGGGAAUAUUGGACAAUGGGCGCAAGCCUGAUCCAGCCAUGCCGCGUGGGUGAAGAAGGCCUUCGGGGUGUAAAGCCCUUUUGUUGGGAAAGAAAAGCAGCAGGUUAAUACCCCGCUGUUCUGACGGUACCCAAAGAAUAAGCACCGGCUAACUUCGUG